CCCGCUCCCUAAGGCUAAGGGGGCCCCUCUCUGAUAAGGAAGGAUAAGAGCAAUCGGCCGAAUGAUUGUUAUUCCACUUACAGUUAGAGCGCCUCUAUCGAAGCAGAACAAGUCUAAGAAUCCAGCCCUGGUUUUCGGGAAUUCCAUUUCGAUCCAAAUAUCCGAAGUCAGUCUUGGAGCUGGUAGGGGCGGACAUACCAACCUAUCCACUGAAAGAUGAGAUGAAGGAGCAGAAGGGACAGCAUGACAGGGGGAAUAAUUUUGGAUUGAUGCGGGAGCUCUACUCACUGGGAUGACCAAAGGAGGUCCAUUCCAAGGAGGAAGGGGUUCUCUUCCGAAAUAGUUGACUGCAUGGNNN
rnacentral:lncRNA from 1 species